GUCGGGAAUUUUGGGCAAUGGGCGAAAGCCUGACCCAGCAACGCCGCGUGAGGGAUGAAGGCCCUCGGGUCGUAAACCUCUGUCGGGAGGGGAGAACGGUCGCGAUUCGAAUAGACUCGCGGCCUGACGGUACCUCCAAAGGAAGCACCGGCUAACUCCGUGCCAGCAGCCGCGGUAAUACGGAGGGUGCAAGCGUUGUUCGGAAUCAUUGGGCGUAAAGCGCGUGUAGGCGGCUUGGCAAGUCGGGUGUGAAAUCCCGGGGCCCAACCCCGGAACUGCACUCGAAACUGCCUCGCUUGAGUCCCGGAGAGGAAGGCGGAAUUCCCGGUGUAGAGGUGAAAUUCGUAGAUAUCGGGAGGAACACCGGCGGCGAAGGCGGCCUUCUGGACGGUGACUGACGCUGAGACGCGAAAGCGUGGGGAGCAAACAGGAUUAGAUACCCCAGUAGUCC
rnacentral:rRNA from 1 species